rnacentral:misc_RNA from 1 species
GAUGAAGAACGUAGCGAAAUGCGAUAAGUAGUGUGAAUUGCAGAAUUCAGUGAAUCAUCGAAUCUUUGAACGCACAUUGCGCCCCUUGGUAUUCCAUGGGGCAUGCCUGUUCGAGCGUCAUUUGUACCUUCAAGCUCUGCUUGGUGUUGGGUGUUUGUCUCGCCUCUGCGUGUAGACUCGCCUCAAAGCAAUUGGCAGCCGGCGUAUUGAUUUCGGAGCGCAGUACAUCUCGCGCUUUGCACUCAUAACGACGACGUCCAAAAGUACAUUUUUACACUCUUGACCUCGGAUCAGGUAGGGAUACCCGCUGAACUUAAGCAUAUCAAUAAGCGGUGGA